rfam:Schistosoma rodhaini strain Burundi genome assembly, scaffold: SROB_scaffold0001397
GCACUGCCGACGAGUCCCACGAUAGGACGAAACGGCCGUCCAGUGC